rnacentral:rRNA from 1 species
CGCAGGCUGCAACCCGCCUGCGUGAAGUUGGAAUCGCUAGUAAUCGCGGAUCAGCAUGCCGCGGUGAAUACGUUCCCGGGCCUUGUACACACCGCCCGUCACACCAUGGGAGUCGGUAACACCCGAAGUCGGUAGCCUAACCGUAAGGAGGGCGCCGCCGAAGGUGGGAUUGAUGACUGGGGUGAAGUCGUAACAAGGUAUC